CCUACGGGGGGCUGCAGUGGGGAAUAUUGGACAAUGGGCGAAAGCCUGAUCCAGCCAUGCCGCGUGUGUGAAGAAGGCCUUCGGGUUAUAAAGCACUUUCAGUGGGGAAGAAAGCCUUGGGGCUAAUACCCUCGAGGAAGGACAUCACCCACAGAAGAAGCACCGGCUAACUCCGUGCCAGCAGCCGCGGUAAUACGGAGGGUGCGAGCGUUAAUCGGAAUUACUGGGCGUAAAGCGCGCGUAGGCGGUCUGAUAAGCCGGUUGUGAAAGCCCCGGGCUCAACCUGGGAACGGCAUCCGGAACUGUCAGGCUAGAGUGCAGGAGAGGAAGGUAGAAUUCCCGGUGUAGCGGUGAAAUGCGUAGAGAUCGGGAGGAAUACCAGUUGCGAAGGCGGCCUUCUGGGCUGACACUGACGCUGAGGUGCGAAAGCGUGGGUAGCAAACAGGAUUAGAUACCCCGGUAGUC
rnacentral:rRNA from 1 species